UUUGUAAACUCUGCCCCUCAGGGUGGUGGCUGAAUUGUAGCAGGUGUUACUACUUCUCAGAAGAGAGGCGCAGCUGGGAAGCUGGUGCCACAGACUGUGCCAACAGGAAAUCUAAGCUCUGGGUCCUGGAGAAUGAGCCUGAAGUGGACUGUAUCACUGAGAUGAAAGGAAGAGAUGAGUAUUACUGGAUCCGGUACAAUUAUAACACAAUCCAGGGACAGUGGACAUGGCUGGACAACACUGGAUUCUCCGGAUACAGGGUAAAAGAAAUUAAAAACUUUACAGGAAAGGACUGUGCCUCUUUCAAGAAAAGAAAUUCAUUUGCUCCUGAAAAUUGUAACCCUUCACAUUACUGGAUCUGUAAGAGAAAUGUGACUGUGCUGAUAACCUGAGCCACUGGAGGAAAGUUCCCAUUAGCCUUUUUCUGUUAGUUGGGAGUGGUAUUCAUUGUCCUCAGGAUUAAAAUCCAAGCCAAUGAUUUUGGACACCUAAA